UUGAGGAUCGUUUGGCUGAUUUGGGACCCCAUUCACUGUAUUGAACACCGACGGGCGAGUCUCACGAGGCAGGCACGACGCACAUACUUGUCGGUGGCAUAGCGGCGAUUACGGCCGAUUGGAAAACCAAGUCAAGCGUGAGUCGAACUGAAGCGAAUUGGCUUUGUCCUAAUUCUUCCAAGUUGCCACCACGAUGGCAACUUGCGAUCAUCAAUUGGUUGCCGACUAGAUUUUAUUUUCUAUCCACGAGCUCAGACUUAGUCGUAGAUCGACAUGCAGUGAUCGAUCGUUGAUCUCAGGCGACAUGGGUUGCUGUACACUUGUGUAUCUAACGGCCAUUCAAAUAGACUGGAACUACAGCAUGCACGUAUUAGCCAAAUUGGAUUUGGUCAUGAUCCAGAAUGAGCCGCACCCUACAAUCCACCAGCUCACUGUAUCACCA
rnacentral:lncRNA from 1 species